UACGAAGGGGGGCUAGCGUUGUUCGGAUUUACUGGGCGUAAAGCGCACGUAGGCGGAUCGAUCAGUCAGGGGGUGAAAUCCCCAGAGCUCAACUCUGGAACUGCCUUUUGAUACUGUCGAUCUGGAGUAUGGAAGAGGUGAGUGGAAUUCCGAGUGUAGAGGUGAAAUUCGUAGAUAUUCGGAGGAACACCAGUGGCGAAGGCGGCUCACUGGUCCAUUACUGACGCUGAGGUGCGAAAGCGUGGGGAGCAAACAGG
rnacentral:rRNA from 1 species